GGGCUAAAGUGCAAUUUUUCCUAAAAAAAUAACCAAACAACAACUCUCAUUUCUUUCUUCUUCCUUUUUCCUGCAUGUCACCUCUCCCAUUACUAUUUCUUCACCAUUUUCUGCCAUAACAACCACUACGUCAGCAUAUCACUUUCCUCUUCUUUUUCUUGUCAGCGCACCUAUUUCUCCUCUCUCUUCCUUCAUUGGAUGUCAAUCUUGGAGAGGAAGAAGACGCUCCUUGCUUCCAUCACUAAAGCAAUCCCUUGCCGACCUCUUCUCUCAAAUUCGACACUCGAUUUAGAUUCCCCACAAUCAAAAAUCUUAAGUCAGCCCUUCCCCUCUUUCAUUCCGUCGUCGGCAGCCUCUACACCACCUCACCCGAUCCGAUUCUUCUCCACUGUGAUCUGGCAUUAUCCAGUGAGAUUUAGGCUGCAAUUUUGGUGUAUUUGGACUCCAUACUUCUCAAGUUUUGUGCGGCCGUCUUUCGAUUCGAAUUUCGACACGGUUGACUCUAAAGAUUUGCUACGGAUUUCAAUGGCCUUAUGCCUACCCAUUCCUUAGUGCUAGUUACGGGCGCACAAAUCAGGUUGUGACAGUAAUGGUUAUUUCUAAGUGGUGACAUAUUACUUAAUAAUUGAUACUGUUUCUAUCCUUGCUUACUCCGAUGGAACUGCUUCAUCAUGCAAUCUUAGGAUAGGAGGCAAUUCCACAUCAGUCUUAUGGGUUUUACAAAAUUGAGAUACUUGGUGCACUCAUUUUAAAGAUGACAUCAACAACUAGUUACAACUUCUUUUAGCAUGUUAUUAAUCUUGCCUAUAUGGCAUCUUGUAAUUGGUUCAUAAACUCUUUCAAUUAAGAAAUGAACAUUUUACAAAGUUGAAAUUGUUCAGAUUUCCAUUCAAAUGAAAUGGCUUCUUGUUGGGAUCUUUGUGUAUGAAGCCAUUGCUAGACUUAUUAAUGAAACAAGUGAAAUUCAGGGUUUUCUUAUGUUUGUUUCUGUAUUUGGAUUAGUUAUACCAACUAUAAGGAAUCUUGAUUUCUUGAAAAUGUUAAGGCCUUUUUUUAAGCCUCACCAUCUUAUUAUUGUUC